AACGGAGGGAGUAUAGUUAUGAGCUAAUUUGCUUAAAACCAAAGGAAGACGGUGAAAUUAGGGAUUUGCCAAUAACAGUAAAAGUUUGUUGCGCGUGGGGUCAAUCACUAUGGUGAAAGACACAAAUAUCCUUUAUACUCAACGAAGUCACUUCCAGAACCUAGAUGAUGUACACAUAUAAGCUGACAACAAGAUUUAUGUAGAUUUGGAAAGAUAAUAAAAAGAUUUGGGUUAGAUUUGCUAAACUUAUCUUUGUAAACGAAGAGGUACAGUGCCGUGGAUUGUUCAACCCAAAACCACAUCUUCUUUCAUUGCCGCUGUCAUUUUUUCUUCAUCUUUUUUCUCUGUUCUUUUUUUUUUUCCUAUUGAAUCUAAACAAAAAUAAAGUAGAUCAUGAAUUCUGAAUAAUUCAUGAGUUCAUAUGGUUCUUUCUCCAUGAGUUCAUGAGGUGGGGGAUCUGGUGAAGGGGGAACCUCACCUACUGUCAAGAAGUUGAGAGGAUGACCCACUGGUUCUAGCAAAAAGUAAAAGCUUCAAGCUUUAGGUAAAUUUAUAUACAUUUCUUUAAUUGGAAUCUUCUUCUUCCUCAUGUGAUGGAACUGGGAAGUUAUGGUGGGUUGGAUCUUCUAUGUCAACUGAUAUCUAUUAGAAUAUGGUAAACAACGACCUCGAGAAUCUCCUUCUCAAAUUUGUUGUUGCAGGGUCAACAUGAGCCGGAUUCACACCUCAUGUUCGUACCGAGAUAGGGCUAUCAAUCAAACCUUGGAAUGUGAAAUGAUGGUGGGGGAAAUUAACCACAAAGCCAAGAAGGAGGUUGGUGGAUUGGUACGUCUAAGGCGGUACGAUUGGGAUUUGACUCCUAACUAUCCAAACUACGGCUGUCUACCAAUGCCAAUCCACCCAUGUUUUCGGAUCGUGGAAGACCGUUAUUGUAAAAUUUAACUUGGGUUCAAUUUGUUUUUGGGAGGCUAAAACUUUUUGUAACCGUUGAUGGCGGUUGGACAUCAGUUACUGUUGUUUUCUUGGGUUUGGGAAGAUGGUUAUCAGCGAUUUUAGUGUGGUCUGAGAUUUUUUUGCAUAGUUAAACUUUCUUGUAACCGUGUACGUAACAGAUUAACUUAAUAUGUACAAGUUUGGUUGUAUA